UGAGGAAUAUUGGUCAAUGGGCGCAAGCCUGAACCAGCCAUCCCGCGUGAAGGAAGAAGGCGCUAUGCGUUGUAAACUUCUUUUCCAGGGGAAUAAAAUGAGGUACGUGUACUUCACUGCAGGUACCCUGGGAAUAAGCAUCGGCUAACUCCGUGCCAGCAGCCGCGGUAAUACGGAGGAUGCAAGCGUUAUCCGGAUUUAUUGGGUUUAAAGGGUGCGUAGGCGGAUCAAUAAGUCAGUGGUGAAAACCUUCAGCUUAACUGGAGACUUGCCAUUGAUACUGUUGGUCUUGAGUAUGGUUAAGGUAGGCGGAAUGUGUAAUGUAGCGGUGAAAUGCUUAGAUAUUACACAGAACACCAAUUGCGUAGGCAGCUUACUGAGCCGACACUGACGCUGAGGCACGAAAGCGUGGGGAUCGAACA
rnacentral:rRNA from 1 species